rnacentral:rRNA from 1 species
AUACGAAGGGGGCAAGCGUUGUUCGGAAUAACUGGGCGUAAAGCGCACGUAGGCGGAAUGUUAAGUUAGAGGUGAAAUCCCAGGGCUCAACCCUGGAACUGCCUUUAAUACUGGCAAUCUAGAGACCGAGGGAGGUGAGUGGAAUUCCGAGUGUAGAGGUGAAAUUCGUAGAUAUUCGGAGGAACACCAGUGGCGAAGGCGGCUCACUGGCUCGGUACUGACGCUGAGGUGCGAAAGCGUGGGGAGCAAACAGGAUUAGAAACCCUAGUAGUCC